GAUGAACGCUGGCGGCGUGCCUAAUACAUGCAAGUCGAGCGAACAGACGAGGAGCUUGCUCCUCUGACGUUAGCGGCGGACGGGUGAGUAACACGUGGAUAACCUACCUAUAAGACUGGGAUAACUUCGGGAAACCGGAGCUAAUACCGGAUAAUAUAUUGAACCGCAUGGUUCAAUAGUGAAAGACGGUUUUGCUGUCACUUAUAGAUGGAUCCGCGCCGCAUUAGCUAGUUGGUAAGGUAACGGCUUACCAAGGCGACGAUGCGUAGCCGACCUGAGAGGGUGAUCGGCCACACUGGAACGGGGACACGUUCCAGACCCCUACGGGAGGCAGCAGAAGGGAAUCUUCCGCAAUGGGCGAAAGCCGGACGGGGCAACGCCGCGUGAGGGAUAAAGGUCUUCGGAUCGUAAAACUCUGUUAUAGGGAAGAACAAAUGUGUAAGUAACUAUGCACGUCUUGACGGUACCUAAUCAGAAAGCCACGGCUAACUACGUG
rnacentral:rRNA from 1 species